CAUGCAGAUUCAUUUUCUGCCACCGAAUACAUUAGCAUGGGAUAAUGGAAUAGGACCCUGUCCUCCUAUUUUCAGUUGGUUUUGGCAGCGCGAGGACUAGGGUAAUGAUUAAUAGGGAUAGUUGGGGGCAUUAAUAUUUAAUUGUCAGAGGUGAAAUUCUUGGAUUUAUGAAAGAUUAACUUCUGCGAAAGCAUCUGCCAAGGAUGUUUUCAUUAAUCAAGAACGAAAGUUAGGGGAUCGAAGACGAUCAGAUACCGUCGUAGUCUUAACCAUAAACGAUGCCGACCAGCGAUUAGGAGACGUUGAAUACAAAACACCACCAUCGGCGCGGUCGUCCUUGGCGUUCGUGUUCACGCACGGGCGCGAGGGCGGCUUAGCCCGAUGGCACCGGUGAAUGACUCCC
rnacentral:rRNA from 1 species